UGAGCGGAGGGAAAGAAAUUGCUGUCAUUACUUUUCAAGAAAGGAGGUAGUAUUGUGAAAGCCAGCCAAGCUUGGGUGAGAGGUUCUAUACAACAUAAGUAUCCCC
rnacentral:lncRNA from 1 species